rnacentral:miRNA from 8 species
GCUGGUCAAAUGGAACCAAGU